AUUGAACGCUGGCGGCAUGCCUUACACAUGCAAGUCGAACGGUAACAGGUCUUCGGAUGCUGACGAGUGGCGAACGGGUGAGUAACACAUCGGAACGUGCCCAGUAGUGGGGGAUAACUACUCGAAAGAGUGGCUAAUACCGCAUGAGAUCUACGGAUGAAAGCAGGGGAUCGCAAGACCUUGUGCUACUAGAGCGGCCGAUGGCAGAUUAGGUAGUUGGUGGGAUAAAAGCUUACCAAGCCGACGAUCUAUAGCUGGUCUGAGAGGACGAUCAGCCACACUGGGACUGAGACACGGCCCAGACUCCUACGGGAGGCAGCAGUGGGGAAUUUUGGACAAUGGGCGCAAGCCUGUUCCAGCAAUGCCGCGUGCAGGAUGAAGGCCUUCGGGUUGUAAACUGCUUUUGUACGGAACGAAAAGCCCUGGGUUAAUACCCUGGGGUCAUGACGGUACCGUAAGAAUAAGCACCGGCUAACUACGUGCCAGCCGCCGCAGUAAAAC
rnacentral:rRNA from 1 species